rnacentral:rRNA from 1 species
GAUGAACGCUGGCGGCGUGCUUAACACAUGCAAGUCGAACGGAAAGGCCCAAGCUUGCUUGGGUACUCGAGUGGCGAACGGGUGAGUAACACGUGGGUGAUCUGCCCUGCACUUCGGGAUAAGCCUGGGAAACUGGGUCUAAUACCGGAUAGGACCACAUUUUGGAUGGUGUGGUGGAAAGUUUUUCGGUGUGGGAUGAGCUCGCGGCCUAUCAGCUUGUUGGUGGGGUAAUGGCCUACCAAGGCGUCGACGGGUAGCCGGCCUGAGAGGGUGUACGGCCACAUUGGGACUGAGAUACGGCCCAGACUCCUACGGGAGGCAGCAGUGGGGAAUAUUGCACAAUGGGCGCAAGCCUAAUGCAGCGACGCCGCGUGGGGGAUGACGGCCUUCGGGUUGUAAACUCCUUUCGCUAGGGACGAAGCGUUAUGUGACGGUACCUGGAGAAGAAGCACCGGCUAACUACGUG